AGAUACAGCUGCUUUACUGUGUUUUAAUUUUCCCAAGAAUGGUGAAGGACUCAAGCUAGUAAAGAAAGACCCCUUUCUGAAGAACAGGACUCAGAAGGUAUUAGCAGAGAGCAGAUGUCCCAGUAGAGAUUCUUCCCCUUAGACAGCCAGCCCUUAAAUGAGGUUAGGGAGGGCUGGGACCAGGCUCCACCCCUUUUCUGCACAGGUGAAACGCUUCCAGCCGUGCUCCGCAGCAGACCAUGUUUUAACAAAGGUGAAAGCCUGUGAAACAAAAGAAUCCCUUCUUACUUGUUUCACGUUUGUGUUUGUUGACUGCAGUUCCAACCAGGUGGACUCUCAAUGUCUUGCAAGCGACACCUAGAAGCAGGUACAGGCAGGAGGUACAGCACCCUGCAACCUCCAGGGGCCUUUGUGCAACACCAGAUGUUCAUGUCCUAGAAGCACGUGGCGGAGCACGUCCUGGGAUCAAGGUGCCAUGGACUGGAAAAUGCAGCUCUGGACAUACAGGCUUGGCGGAGUUCCUGUGUGAAGACAAAACUCCCAGUACUCCAGAAACGUGGAGGCAGAAGAGCAGUGACAAGGUAUCUGUAUGUCUGUCAGUAUAUGUGCACAGCCAGGAGUGCGUGGGCAGACAAAGAAGCGUUGUGCAGGCAGGGAAAAAUGAGUGCUGUGGGUCCUGGGAGCAGCAAUGCGGGAGGCUCCUCCUGCUAGUGCUCUUCCGCUGGAACGUCCCUUUGGUUUUCUACCUGGGAGAAUAUUUGAACCCGUUGAAAAAGGUCUGACUUGAAGCGAGGGUGCAGAGCAGAUUUAACCUCUGCAGGCGUGUAUGCCAGAGCAUGAAGCAUCGUCAACGAGCACGGGGUAGCACCAGCUUGACACAGGGGAAGCUUCCACAGAGCCCCCAGAUGGAGUCCCAGGGUGAUGAGAUGAAGCUGAUUUUGGCAGCAUUAACGGUGGUUUUCCAGGAUCUGUGCCUUCUAGGGCUGGGGGCUGUCACUGGGGUUGCUUUCACAGGACACCCCUCAGCCCACCUCAGGACCCACGGGGAGUCUGUCGGUGACAAAUGUGUCACUGAGUGACAGCAUCAGGGUGGGAAUGCGUGGAACAGUGGCGCUGGGGGGGGUCAGCCCCAAGGAGAAAGCCUCCCCCAUGGAAGAAACGGAUUGCUUAAUGCCGUGGGUGAGAUGUUGGAGAACAGCAAAUUAAUGAGGUUAAAAGGUGCCGCCCGGGUACUGUGGGAACCUCCUCCCACCCUGCAAGUGCUGUCCAAAGCUCUCCAGUGCCCCCUGCUGCUCUUUGCAGUUUCCCACUAAGCUCCCGUUGCCUCCCAGUAUUGUCCAGAGUCUCCUUGUGCAAACUCAGUGCCCCCCAGUGCUGCCUGGAGCCACCCCAGUGCUGUAUGCGGCCCUCAGUAGCCUCCCAGUGCCCCCCAGUGGACUUCCCAGUGCCUCCAGUAGUGCCCAGUGCCCCCAGUUCAACACACCCACUGCUCAGCACGUGACCGUCGCCUUCCCCAGGAACAAAACAAGGCAACAGAGACGUUGACAGCAGCGAUGGUGAUGGAGAUGUUCAGACUGGAGGAGCUCUUGGCUCGCUGCAGCCACCCCACCACAACAGCAUCCCCAGAGGUGGGCACGGGGACCUGGGGGGCUUUGGUGCUGCACAAACGACUGCAGGCAGAGGUGUAGGAAAGUGAACGCCAAGCAUUUAAUAAUUGAACGUACAAAACAGCAAAUAAAUGACAAUAGAUAUUCCCAACCAUUUCCCACCCUGACAAUUGUUUCUGAUCCCACCCCCUAAAAUUCCCACCCUCUAAUCAAUUUCCCACCCCCAGCUCCCACCCCGCAAUCAAUUUCUCACCUUCCCCCCCCCACCCCCCGCCCCGGCUCCCUCCCACCAAUAGUUCCCUCCCUCUGCAAAACACUUCCCAGCCCCCCAAAUUCCCACCCCAAUAAUUCCUUCCUCCAAAUUCCAACAAUUUCGGAGUGCAACAUGAUCAGAGUACAAUUUCCCACCCAGAAUUGCCACCCCACAAAAUUCCCUCCCCUCCCCACAUCUCCAAUGCCAGCAGUC
rnacentral:lncRNA from 7 species